rnacentral:rRNA from 1 species
GUGGGGAAUAUUGGACAAUGGGGGGAACCCUGAUCCAGCCAUGCCGCGUGUGUGAAGAAGGCCUUUUGGUUGUAAAGCACUUUAAGCGAGGAGGAGGCUACCGAGAUUAAUACUCUUGGAUAGUGGACGUUACUCGCAGAAUAAGCACCGGCUAACUCUGUGCCAGCAGCCGCGGUAAUACAGAGGGUGCAAGCGUUAAUCGUAUUUACUGGGCGUAAAGCGCGCGUAGGUGGCCAAUUAAGUCAAAUGUGAAAUCCCCGAGCUUAACUUGGGAAUUGCAUUCGAUACUGGUUGGCUAGAGUAUGGGAGAGGAUGGUAGAAUUCCAGGUGUAGCGGUGAAAUGCGUAGAGAUCUGGAGGAAUACCGAUGGCGAAGGCAGCCAUCUGGCCUAAUACUGACACUGAGGUGCGAAAGCAUGGGGAGCAAACAGGAUUAGAUACCCUGGUAGUCC